AAAAUCACUAUAACAUUACAUUAAAUAAUGCUUCGUCAGUGUAAAUCCAAAACAAUUCACGUCUCUGUAGGAGUAAUUCAAUGUCGCCACCUCUAGGUGGCAAAGUCACUUUCUCAAUCCCACAAAACCGUAAAGAGGUAACAUCGUGAUUCAAAGUUACAAAAUGUGCCGCAACUGGAUAAUUCAUAUAUUUUCUUCUGAUCGAACUCUUAUGUUCACUAAUUCUUUGUUUUAGUUGGCGUGACGUUUUCCCCACGUAGCCAAUACCACAAGGACAACGAAUCAAAUAAACCACAUGAGUGGAAACACAAGUAAUCACAGAUUUAAUACAAUAUUUUUUGCCAGUUCUAGGGUGACAGAAAAAUGAUG